rnacentral:tRNA from 1 species
GGAGAGAUGGUCGAGUGGUUUAAGGCAGCGGUCUUGAAAACCGCCGAGGCGCAAGCCUCCGCGAGUUCGAAUCUCGCUCUCUCCGCCA